AUGAUAUUAUGUAAGGUCUCGCCAGAUCAAUACUCUUUGCCGUCUGAUCAAGAUUCAACUGGUGGAGCUGUCGAAUCCAUGCCUCUGCACACACCUGCUGGACAAUUUUCCAGGUCUAAACAGAGUCUCAGUGUGCCAUCAUGUUUCUUGUGCCCUGCACCUCCAAGGCUCCAACUAGUAUUUUCAUUACCGACUUCAUGUUAUCAAAUAGUGCCAACAAUAGCCAGGGAUCAACUUGUCUGUAAGGCCCUGUUUCACACUCUAGACUUACAAGAACACUUUACUGGUAUUCUUAUAUUUAUGGCCUCUAUCACACAGAGAUCUGCCUUUACACUGUAUUAUCUGUUAUUCUAG
rnacentral:rRNA from 1 species